rnacentral:rRNA from 1 species
CCUACGGGUGGCAGCAGUGGGGAAUAUUGGACAAUGGGGGGAACCCUGAUCCAGCCAUGCCGCGUGUGUGAAGAAGGCCCUCGGGUUGUAAAGCACUUUCAGUGAGGAAGAACGCCUGGUGGUUAAUACCCAUCAGGAAAGACAUCACUCACAGAAGAAGCACCGGCUAACCCCGUGCCAGCAGCCGCGGUAAUACGGAGGGUGCGAGCGUUAAUCGGAAUUACUGGGCGUAAAGCGCGCGUAGGUGGCUUGAUAAGCCGGUUGUGAAAGCCCCUGGCUCAACCUGGGAACGGCAUCCGGAACUGUCAAGCUAGAGUGCAGGAGAGGAAGGUAGAAUUCCCGGUGUAGCGGUGAAAUGCGUAGAGAUCGGGAGGAAUACCAGUGGCGAAGGCGGCCUUCUGGACUGACACUGACACUGAGGUGCGAAAGCGUGGGUAGCAAACAGGAUUAGAUACCCUGGUAGUC